ACUCCCCAACAUAAUGAAAGCAAAAUCAAAAGUAAUUAAGAAAGUUACCCCGGAAGAACUGAACGUGGAGAUCAAGUCGGAUCUGGAGGUGGUUGAAGUCACCGAACCUCCAAAGAGGAAAGCUGGAGUUAUUCUUUCCUCUGUGGAUGAGCUCAUCGACAAGCUAAAAAAUGAAGCUCGUGUUUUGUGAUCUGAUCACCUUGAUCGCACACAUACAUCUGGUUGAUCGAUGCCACUGGCUGUUAUGCUCCGUCUCAGUAAGCAAUGCAUUUUAUAUUUAUUAAAUAAUUUAUGCAAAGGAUAUCCUUGUUCAAUUUUAAUGAGUAAACUGUACUAAAUGUUUUGUUGGAGAGUGGCCG
rnacentral:misc_RNA from 1 species